rnacentral:lncRNA from 1 species
CUAGAUCUACCGAUCUGCAGCGAAGAGAGAGAAGGGAACUUGGCCUGAUCUUGUGAUCACCGGUGGAAAACGAGUGAGAAAGAAAGAAUGAAAAAAGAAAAGAAAAAAGAGGGGAAAGAGAGAGAAAGUGCCGGUGAGGAAGGAAAGAGAGAAAGAAGAGAGACAUUGGCAGGAAAGGAACAACGCCGGGAAGAAAAAGAGAGAAAGGAGAGCUGAG